GACGAACGCUGGCGGCGUGCCUAAUACAUGCAAGUUGAGCGCUGAAGGUUGGUACUUGUACCAACUGGAUGAGCAGCGAACGGGUGAGUAACGCGUGGGGAAUCUGCCUUUGAGCGGGGGACAACAUUUGGAAACGAAUGCUAAUACCGCAUAAAAACUUUAAACACAAGUUUUAAGUUUGAAAGAUGCAAUUGCAUCACUCAAAGAUGAUCCCGCGUUGUAUUAGCUAGUUGGUGAGGUAAAGGCUCACCAAGGCGAUGAUACAUAGCCGACCUGAGAAGGUGAUCGGCCACAUUGGGACUGAGACACGGCCCAAACUCCUACGGGAGGAAGCAGUAGGGAAUCUUCGGCAAUGGACGAAAGUCUGACCGAGCAACGCCGCGUGAGUGAAGAAGAUUUUCGGAUCGUAAAACUCUGUUGGUAGAGAAGAACGUUGGUGAGAGUGGAAAGCUCAUCAAGUGACGGUAACUACCCAGAAAGGGACGGCUAACUACGUG
rnacentral:rRNA from 1 species